rnacentral:rRNA from 1 species
UACGUAGGGGGCGAGCGUUGUCCGGAGUUACUGGGCGUAAAGCGCACGCAGGCGGUCUGUUAAGUUUGGAGGGACAGUUGGUGGCUUAACUGCCAAAGUGCUUCGAAAACUGACAGACUUGAGGGCUUCAGAGGGACACGGAAUUCCGGGUGGAGUGGUGAAAUGCGUAGAGAUCCGGAGGAACACCAAAGGCGAAGGCAGUGUCCUGGGGAGUACCUGACGCUCAGGUGCGAAAGCCAGGGGAGCGAACGGG